CUUCUCAGAAAGGGAAACAGUGAUGGAAAAAGGUUCAAUUACAGAAGAUCAGAGCAGUGGUUUCUGAUGAAUUAUGAGCUUCCCUCCAAGUCUUCAAUUUGGGAAGGUAGAUGGGUUGGAGUGAGAAGCAGGGCUCUGCUUCCUUCAUUUCUUGUUGCUAAUGGGGAAUAUGGAGAACCAAGUAUGGUUGCUUUCUGUAAAGGUAUGCAGUCAAUUAUAGAUGCAUCAUCAUCUGAUGAUGUUGCUUAUUCAAUUUUGUAUGCAAUGUAGUGCAUGUAUGCAUCAUCGUAGGACUAAGUCUCUUUUCAUAUUAGUAUGAUAUUGUUCUAUUUCGACUUACGCUCGUUUAAUUUUUUAUUUUAGAUUAUGCGUACCUAAUAUGAGUCGUAUUGGUGUAGAAGGUGUCUUUUUAUAAACCUGUUUGGGGCAAUUGCAAAUAUGGCAAAAACAUUUAGUAAGAUUAGCAAAA